rnacentral:rRNA from 1 species
ACAGCAGCCGCCGCGGUAAUACGGAGGGUGCAAGCGUUAAUCGGAAUUACUGGGCGUAAAGCGCACGCAGGCGGUCUGUCAAGUCAGAUGUGAAAUCCCGCAGCUCAACUGCGGAACUGCCUUUGAUACUGGGUAUCUUGAGUAUGGAAGAGGUUAGUGGAAUUCCGAGUGUAGAGGUGAAAUUCGUAGAUAUUCGGAAGAACACCAGUGGCGAAGGCGGCUCACUGGACCGGCAUUGACGCUGAGGUGCGAAAGCGUGGGGAGCAAACAGGAUUAGAUACCCGCGUAGUCCCUGUCUCUUAUAC